CAGAAUCAAAAGAGGCGGAACUCAAACCUUAAUUUCCUUAGCUAAUUUAAUAAACACAUUUCACGUCCGCAUACCCCAAAACACACACGCCGGCCGAAAUCAACGAAAUCGAAUCCUAGCUUGCUAUUUAUUAGCUCGUAAAAGUCAAAAUUUUAUAGUUUUCCUGACUCCGUGUGAUUGAUUCUAGGUUUUGAGCUGCGAGAAUUUGUGAAUCUUUGCUCUGCAAAAAGCUGGCUAUGGACUGCGAGCCGUACGACAGUAGUGGAACUGAUGAUGAUUUUCCUCCACCACAUCAAAAUACAAAUAGAAUGUCAAGAGGUGGCCGCAUUUCUGGUAAUGGAAGGCCUGCUGCCUUUAGUUCUCACCCAUUUCCCCGGAUCUAUGAGGAGACUGAUAUGGAAGCUAAAAUUCACCAGCUUGAGCAAGAAGCAUACAGUUCAGUUCUAAGAGCCUUUAAAGCUCAAGAUGAUGCCAUAACUUGGGAGAAGGAAAGUUUAAUUACAGAGCUCAGGAAAGAGUUAAGAUUAUCAAAUGAGGAACACAGAGAUCUUCUCAGUAGGGUUAAUGCUGAUGAUACAAUCAGAAGAAUAAGAGAGUGGAGGCAAUCAGGGGGGCUGCAACAAAGCAUUCAUGGUGCCAAUCAACCAGUACAUGAUGCAGUGCUGAGUCCGUCCAUUUCAGCUUCUCGUAAAAAGCAAAAGAUAGCUCCACAGUAUCCUUCUGUAUCUUAUGGUGGGCCAUCUCCUUCUUUCCACCCACAUGCAAUUGCUACAACAAACCAGCCGUCCUCCUCAGCUGCUAAGCGUGGACCUAUAGCAGGGACAAAAGGAAAAAAGCACAAAUCUAUACCACCUGGUUCAUUAACGAAAAUUCGGCAUCCCUCUGGGCCGGCUGGAAGAGGUCAAUUUGGUAACCGCGUUGGGGGCCUUCCAAAUGAGCGGCCGCAAGGUUCUUUUGAUCCAUUAAUUGGACGGAAAGUCAGAACCAGAUGGCCCGAUGAUAAUAAUUUUUAUGAAGCUGUUAUAACUGAUUACAAUGCAGUUGAGGGUCGACAUGCUCUUGUUUAUGACAUAGGUACUGAUUUUGAAACAUGGGAAUGGGUCAACCUAGCUGAGAUAUCUCCGUCUGAUAUUAAGUGGGACGGUGAAGACCCUGGGAUUUCUCGUCAUGGCAGUUAUGGUGGAGCUGCCUGUGGGAUCGGCCGACCUCUUGGACAAGAUAAUGCUCCAGGUUUGGGAAGAGGAAGGGGUUUACCCAAAGGCCAGUCCAGGAAUGACCUUCCACCCCAAAAUGGCAUUGGAAAGAAAAGACUGGAUGACAUUCAGUUGCUUCAUACUGAGACUUUGAUAAAAGAGGUGGAGAAGGUUUUUAAUGCUAGUCAUCCUGAUCCUGUUGAAAUUGACAGGGCAAGGAAAGUUUUAAAGGAACAUGAGCUCGCUCUCAGCGAUGCCAUUGCAAGGUUUGCGGAUUUAUCUGAUGGUGAAAGUGACGAAGGUGGUGGCUUCGUACAUGGCCAGGCACUGGAGCGGGCAUAAGAACCCCACACCAGUGAUGAUAAUUUAGGAUGAAGGAGGGAUGGAAAUGGGAGGGAUGCAGAUGAAAGGGAAAGAAUGUUAAUUCCAUUGAUCUACAUCUUCUGCCUGUGUGUGGUGGUUUGCGUCCUUCUCCUUGUCUUCUCAGCCGUGGCAUCCCUUUGCUGCUUUAGCCCUGGCUCGUUUGGCUCUUCGCCUACAUUUAUUCCUACAUCGACUAUUGCCCCCAAUGCCCGCCACCAAGCCGUAUGAUCAUGAUCAUCAUUAAGUAUAUGGUCUCAACAAUGGCCAAGUAUCAAUCACUUUUUUUUUUUUUUU